rnacentral:rRNA from 1 species
UAACGCGUGGGAAUCUACCCAUCUCUGCGGAAUAGCUCUGGGAAACUGGAAUUAAUACCGCAUACGCCCUACGGGGGAAAGAUUUAUCGGGGAUGGAUGAGCCCGCGUUGGAUUAGCUAGUUGGUGGGGUAAAGGCCUACCAAGGCGACGAUCCAUAGCUGGUCUGAGAGGAUGAUCAGCCACAUUGGGACUGAGACACGGCCCAAACUCCUACGGGAGGCAGCAGUGGGGAAUAUUGGACAAUGGGCGCAAGCCUGAUCCAGCCAUGCCGCGUGAGUGAUGAAGGCCUUAGGGUUGUAAAGCUCUUUCACCGAUGAAGAUAAUGACGGUAGUCGGAGAAGAAGCCCCGGCUAACUUCGUGCCAGCAGCCGCGGUAAUACGAAGGGGGCUAGCGUUGUUCGGAAUUACUGGGCGUAAAGCGCACGUAGGCGGAUAUUUAAGUCAGGGGUGAAAUCCCAGAGCUCAACUCUGGAACUGCCUUUGAUACUGGGUAUCUUGAGUAUGGAAGAGGUAAGUGGAAUUGCGAGUGUAGAGGUGAAAUUCGUAGAUAUUCGCAGGAACACCAGUGGCGAAGGCGGCUUACUGGUCCAUUACUGACGCUGAGGUGCGAAAGCGUGGGGGAGCAAACAGGAUUAGAUA